CUCUGGACUGGGGUCACAUGUCUAUAAUCUAAAGUGUGACCCCACCUCCUAUACCCUAUAUGUGGAGUCACACAUCCACAACCUCCAAGGUUACACCCUCCCAGACCAUGCACCUGGAAUCACAUGCUCAAUCUUCAUGGUUAGCCUGAAGGGUGACCCUGCCCCCAAGACCCAGUACCUGCGGUCACACACCCACAGUGUUCAUGGUGACCUCCUCCCAGACCCAGCACCUACGGAGAUCACCACAGGCCCAUAUAGAUGGGCGCAGACAGUGGCCACACACAUGGAGUCUGGAGAGAAAGAGGCCCUUGGAGUCACCUGGAAUGGAUGAAGGCCUGGCUUCAUCAGCUCGACAUGUUGAAUCUUAGUUCCCUGACAAAGGAUCAAACUCGCACCCCCUGCAGUGGAAGUGCAGAGUCUUAACCACUGAACUUCCAGAACUUGUUGCAGACGCCUUCUCCUCCCUGAAAAAUUAUUUGCAAUCAUUUCUUCUCACACCUCAUCACCACCAGCUCAAAAGGCACACUCUCCCA
ensembl:lncRNA